rnacentral:lncRNA from 1 species
UGACAUCGAUGAAGACCAGAUGCUUCAGGAGACAGGGAUGACCAACGCUUGGUUAUUGGGAGAUGCCCCUCGGACCCUUACAAACACUCGUUGCCAUCCCAGGCGGUGAAUGACAGCUAUCUUCGGUCGUCCUUGAGGUCAACGGCAUCGUACUGUUCCAGGGACAGUCGGGGCCACAAUGAUGUGUAUAUUUCGGAGCAUGUUAUGCCUUAUGCUGCAAAUAAGAAUAAUAUGUACUCUACCCCCAGGGUUUUAAAUUCCUGCAGCAAUAGACGCGUGUACAAGAAAA